GGCUUAGAGUUUGAUCCUGGCUCAGAGCGAACGCUGGCGGCGUGGUUNAGGCAUGCAAGUCGAACGAUUGUGUCGGCCUGAAGGGCUUGAANCCGCAAGGCGGAUGGCCUGGAUGAUUGACGCGAGAGUGGCAAACGGGUGCGUAACACGUGGGUAAUCUACCCUGAGGCGGGGGAUAACGUUCCGAAAGGGACGCUAAUACCGCAUAAGCUCACAGGACCGGAAGGUCCAGGGAGCAAAGCUGGGGAUCCGCAAGGACCUGGCACCUUGGGAGGAGCCCGCGUCCUAUCAGCUAGUUGGCGGGGUAACGGCCCACCAAGGCGUUUGACGGGUAGCUGGCCUGAGAGGGUGGUCAGCCACACUGGGACUGAGACACUGCCCAGACUCCUACGGGAGGCUGCAGUCGAGGAUCUUCUCCAAUGGGCGCAAGCCUGAGAAUGCGACGCCGCGUGCAGGAUGAAGGCCUUCGGGUCGUAAACUGCUGUCAGGUGGGAAGAAUACCUGGUCCCCGAAUACGGGACUCGGUUGAAGGUACCUCAGAGNAGCCACAAAAA
rnacentral:rRNA from 1 species